rnacentral:rRNA from 1 species
UACAGAGGUCUCAAGCGUUGUUCGGAUUCAUUGGGCGUAAAGGGCGCGUAGGCGGCGAUUCAAGUGACGGGUGAAAUCCCUCGGCUUAACCGAGGAACUGCCUGUCAGACUGGAUUGCUUGAGGCCGGGAGAGGCGAGUGGAAUUCCCAGUGUAGCGGUGAAAUGCGUAGAUAUUGGGAGGAACACCAGUGGCGAAGGCGGCUCGCUGGACCGGUUCUGACGCUGAGGCGCGAAAGCGUGGGGAGCAAACAGG